rnacentral:rRNA from 1 species
UACGGAGGAUCCAAGCGUUAUCCGGAAUCAUUGGGCGUAAAGAGUAUGUAGGCGGCUAUUUAAGUCAGACGUGUAAGCCCACGGCUCAACCGUGGAAUUGCGUUUGAAACUAUUUAGCUUGAGUGCAGAAGAGGAAGGCGGAAUUCCCAGUGUAGCGGUGAAAUGCAUUGAUAUUGGGAAGAACACCGGUGGCGAAGGCGGCCUUCUGGUCUGACACUGACGCUGAGAUACGAAAGCUAGGGGAGCAAACAGG